UGCAGGAUGGAGCAGUUGGUAGCUCGUUUGGUUCAUACCCAAAAGGUCGCGGGUUCGAGCCCCGCUCCUGCAA
rnacentral:tRNA from 1 species